UGCGGAAGGAUCAUUACUGAUUUGCUUAAUUGCACCACAUGUGUUUUUCUUUGAAACAAACUUGCUUUGGCGGUGGGCCCAGCCUGCCGCCAGAGGUCUAAACUUACAACCAAUUUUUUAUCAACUUGUCACACCAGAUUAUUACUAAUAGUCAAAACUUUCAACAACGGAUCUCUUGGUUCUCGCAUCGAUGAAGAACGCAGCGAAAUGCGAUACGUAAUAUGAAUUGCAGAUAUUCGUGAAUCAUCGAAUCUUUGAACGCACAUUGCGCCCUCUGGUAUUCCGGAGGGCAUGCCUGUUUGAGCGUCGUUUCUCCCUCAAACCGCUGGGUUUGGUGUUGAGCAAUACGACUUGGGUUUGCUUGAAAGACGGUAGUGGUAAGGCGGGAUCGCUUUGACAAUGGCUUAGGUCUAACCAAAAACAUUGCUUGCGGCGGUAACGUCCACCACGUAUAUCUUCAAACUUUGACCUCAAAUCAGGUAGGA
rnacentral:misc_RNA from 1 species